UUCUUAGAGGGACUAUGGCCAUUUAGGCCAUGGAAGUUUGAGGCAAUAAUAGGUCUAUGAUGCCCUUAGAUGUUUUGGGCCACAUACGUGCUACACUGAUGCAGUCAAUGAGUUUUUCUCCCUGGUUCGAGAGGAUCGGGAAAUAUUCUCAAAUUGCAUCAUGAUGGGGAUAGACCAUUGCAAUUAUUGGUCUUCAACUAGGAAUUCCUAAUAAGCACGUGUCAUCAGCUCGUGUUGACUACGUCCCUGCCCUUUGUACACACCGCCCGUCACUCCUAUUGAUUGAAUGAUCUAGUGAAGUGUUCAGAUCGCAUCAAUGAGGGUGGUUCGCCACCGAUGAUGUCGUGAGAAGUUCACUGAACCUUAUCAUUUAGAGGAAGGAGAAGUCGUAACAAGGUUACCGUAGGUGAACCUGCGGUAGGAUCAUUG
rnacentral:ncRNA from 1 species